rnacentral:rRNA from 1 species
UACGUAGGGUGCAAGCGUUGUCCGGAAUUAUUGGGCGUAAAGAGCUCGUAGGCGGUUUGUCGCGUCGAAUGUGAAAUCCCGGGGCUCAACCCCGGGCCUGCAUUCGAUACGGGCAGGCUGGAGUUCGGUAGGGGAGACUGGAAUUCCUGGUGUAGCGGUGAAAUGCGCAGAUAUCAGGAGGAACACCGGUGGCGAAGGCGGGUCUCUGGGCCGAUACUGACGCUGAGGAGCGAAAGCGUGGGGAGCGAACAGG